AGAGAACAGACAGACAGAGGCCAGAUUACAUGAUCAUGUUCAUGUAAUCACUGUUAAAGAUAAUAAUAAUAAAUAAAUAACCACACCAGACGCAGAGAAUGUGUCUUUGCUGCAGCCUGCCUGGUCUUGUGAUGCAAUCAAUGAGAUUAAAUCAUUGACUGGCCAGGCCAGGCCAUGGGAGGCCUGGAUGAAAUAUAACACUGUGGCAGGCAGGCUCGGAAAACACCCAGCCUCACCAACUCAGGCUGCUGGACGCCUGCUCUGCUCAGGCUGACGUUUCCAAAGGUCGUCAGGCAGCUAGCAGCAAAGCUAACAGCUGCUCAUGCGCCCUUUUAAUCACGCAGAGUCCAUUUUAAACCCCACUCAGGCGAACAGCACGUAACACCCACCGUCUAACGUCCCUUUUACCGCGAUGACCUCUUCAAAAAAAACAACCGUUUAAAUACAGGGGAAAGUGUUGCUGACGUCUCCAGGGUAGUUCCCUUCACCAAGCCGCUAAGCUAGGAUAAUGGUCGAUAACCCAGCAGACGUCGCAGCGUAUUUGCCAACCAGCCAGAAGGCAACAAACGACCUCAGCCGCUUUAAAGUCUUUCGACAUUUCGCCAGCGAACACGACAAGCCGUAUCAGUGGCAAGUUUAGAAACGGUGCGUGGCUCUUUAAACGACCUCGUCCGUUUCGUGUCCUGUACGCUCAAUGUCACACACACUUACCAAUCCUUGUCAUCAUCAUCUUUUUUUUUUUUUUUUUUACAUAUCAAAGUAACGCAGCGAGGCCUUUAACCGCAGCUCCGUCGAAUCAACAACCUGAUGACAGCUGGGCCAGUGGGGAGACACUUCCGUCUCCAUUCCCCGCCUCCAGCUGCCUUCGCCAGCCACUCUGUGAAAGGAUUUCCUCCACAUCGCCCCGCCCACAUUAUCUGUAAUCUGCCCUCUGAUAGGAUAAUUGCUGUCAGCACACGCCCACAUCACAUAUUGUCAAUGAAUGGCAGUUCCAUCUUUUUCCAAAUAAGGAGGGCUUGAAAUCAAUAGCAGUUGUAGGAAAGGUAGAUUAAUGAAGAUUAAAAAUACCAUAUAUGUG